rnacentral:ncRNA from 2 species
AGACCCUCCGCGGAAGAGACCGGACCGGCGCAAGCCGUUUCGGCGCCGAAGGCGCAACCGCCCCGGAAACGCUCAGGCCAAAGGACCGCGAGGGGGAU